ACCCAAGCAUAACCACAAGGUAACAAGCAGAUUGCCCAGUGCUUUCUUGUGCUGCUGUAUCUUGUAAUCAUUCCAAUGACAACCAAAGCUCCACUAGCCAAUUUUGGAUCAGUUUGACUUGAUAGUGAGUUUAAUUUUAACUCGUUGGUAGUCCUUGAGGUGGUAAAUGAUAGCAUCUUUUUAGGGUAGAAGAGCUGGUUUUAAUUUGUUACCUGUGUGUGUGGGUAGGAUGCGUUGUUUGUCUGUCCCCAAACGUUGAAGAAAAAUUGCAAGCUGUUUCUCCUUUGGGGCUUUGUCCAAGCCAGUGGCUAUCAGGCAGUGACUCACCAGUGUUGGUGCUGUAGGUGCGAACAGUGGUGUCGAUUGGAGGCGGUGAGCAGCCUGAGUCUAUGGAUGCUGUGUCAUCAUCUUGGGAACAGCCAGCCUGGAUGGCUCUCAGACAAGCACUGACCUGUCCCAAGCAGCUACGUCUGCCCAAGGUGCUGCAGGCCUGGCUGAAGUCAUCAUCAUCCCAGCGUGGCAAAGACGAGAUUGUACCCCCAAUACAGUCCAGGUUGUCCAGGCUGCGAUUAUUGGAGAGCUCUCUGAGAGACGGAAGACAGCUGGAAAGAGGAGUAAGAUGAGAGGAAAAACAAGAUAAAGGAGAUGUGUUAAGGGGAGGCAGAAGGGAACAUGGAUCGGGGAAGAAAAUGAACGAUCAGCAAAACCAGGAAUUGAAAGAGAGAUAAAAGGUGAAGACAUAUAAAGAUGCAGAGGAAGAUGACAGACAGAAAUCAGCAAGUAGGGAGAAACGUGGCAUCGAGCAGGAAGAGCGAGAGAGAUGACCCACUCAUUUUAGCCCAUCUCUGAAGACUGUGAUGCCAGAAAGGAAGUCAGCGAAAGACAGUGGCACCACUUCACUGCUUAUGAUGGCGAUGGAACUUUCCAUGACCUCAAAACAAUUUGUGUGUGUGUGUGAAGUGAGUACAUUAAACGGGUAUGGAGUGAUGUUGGUACCAUUUAACCAUUUUUUUUCUGGAUGAGAAAAGCCUAGUACGAAAAAACAGUGAUACAUUUAGGAGUCACCUGGAGAUCUCAAGAGUGUUUUA